rnacentral:rRNA from 1 species
AUACGUAGGGUGCAAGCGUUAAUCGGAAUUACUGGGCGUAAAGCGUGCGCAGGCGGUUUUGUAAGACAGAGGGGAAAACCCCGGGGUCAACCUGGGACCUGGCUUUGUGACUGCAAGGCUAGAGCACGGCUGAGGGGGAUGGAAUUCAGCGUGGAGCAGGGAAUGGCGUAGAUAUGCGGAGGAACACCGAUGGUGAAGUCAAUCCCCUGCGCAUGUACUGACGCUCAUGCACGAAAGCGUGGGGAGCAAACAGGAUUAGAUACCCUGGUAGUCCACGCCCUAAACGAUGUCAACUGGUUGUUGGGUCUUCAUUGACUCAGUAACGAAGCUAACGCGUGAAGUUUACCGCCUGGGGAGUGCGGCCGCAAGGUUGAAACUCAAAUGAAUUGACGGUG